rnacentral:rRNA from 1 species
GCUAUACUGCAAGUCGAGCGAACUGAUUAGAAGCUUGCUUCUAUGACGUUAGCGGCGGACGGGUGAGUAACACGUGGGCAACCUGCCUGUAAGACUGGGAUAACUUCGGGAAACCGAAGCUAAUACCGGAUAGGAUCUUCUCCUUCAUGGGAGAUGAUUGAAAGAUGGUUUCGGCUAUCACUUACAGAUGGGCCCGCGGUGCAUUAGCUAGUUGGUGAGGUAACGGCUCACCAAGGCAACGAUGCAUAGCCGACCUGAGAGGGUGAUCGGCCACACUGGGACUGAGACACGGCCCAGACUCCUACGGGAGGCAGCAGUAGGGAAUCUUCCGCAAUGGACGAAAGUCUGACGGAGCAACGCCGCGUGAGUGAUGAAGGCUUUCGGGUCGUAAAACUCUGUUGUUAGGGAAGAACAAGUACAAGAGUAACUGCUUGUACCUUGACGGUACCUAACCAGAAAGCCACGGCUAACUACGUGCCAGCAGCCGCGGUAAUACGUAGGUGGCAAGCGUUAUCCGGAAUUAUUGGGCGUAAAGCGCGCGCAGGCGGUUUCUUAAGUCUGAUGUGAAAGCCCACGGCUCAACCGUGGAGGGUCAUUGGAAACUGGGGAACUUGAGUGCAGAAGAGAAAAGCGGAAUUCCACGUGUAGCGGUGAAAUGCGUAGAGAUGUGGAGGAACACCAGUGGCGAAGGCGGCUUUUUGGUCUGUAACUGACGCUGAGGCGCGAAAGCGUGGGGAGCAAACAGGAUUAGAUACCCUGGUAGUCCACGCCGUAAACGAUGAGUGCUAAGUGUUAGAGGGUUUCCGCCCUUUAGUGCUGCAGCUAACGCAUUAAGCACUCCGCCUGGGGAGUACGGUCGCAAGACUGAAACUCAAAGGAAUUGACGGGGGCCCGCACAAGCGGGGAGCAUGUGGUUUAAUUCGAAGCAACGCGAAAACCUUACCCUUGACUCCUCUGAACUCUAGAGAUAGAGCGUUCCCCUUCGGGGGACAGAGUGACAGGGGCAUGG